rnacentral:misc_RNA from 1 species
CGAGGCUAAAUCCAACCCAAUUAUCAUGGUCACAAUUAGAAUAAAGGCAAAUUAGAGAUAUUCUUCUUUCACUCAUUUCAACAAACAUAAGCACUCAUGCCCUAGAAAUUAAAGAAAAAGGCUAUUUCACUCUAUAGCGAUUCAGAGUAAGUCAACUGGCUUGCCCAUUUGCUUCUUUCUCAUUAUGAUUCGAAUUGUAGAGCCAAAUCAUAAAGGUGAGAGUUGUGAAUUUCCAAAUUCUGACAUGGAUGAUCAACUUAAUUGAAUGGCAUUAAGCAUAUAAUCAUUCUAAGAUCAAUAAAAAGUUUUCUACCUCUAGGAAGAUUUCAUGGUACGGGUCAUCAUGUUCAUGAAUUCAUCUAUGUUGAUCAAGCCAUCACCAUCGGUAUCUACACCUAUUAUCAUUUUUCGACAAGCAUCCAAGCUAGAUCUCUCUCCCAUCUUCUUCAAGACUUGCAUUAAUUCCUCUGCACUUAUCUUCCCAUCUCCAUCCAAAUCAAAAGCUUGAAACGCACUUUGAAUAUCACUAGUCUUCACUCCAUCUCCCACGUUAUUCAUCAUCACCAUGAACUCCUUGAAAUCUAUGAAGCCAUCCCCAUCUGUAUCAGUAGCCUCAAAUGACUUGGCCAUUUCAGCUUCGUCCAUUCCCUUGCCCAAGCUCCUUACGGCUGACUUGUACUCUUGACGUGAAAUCUUGCCAUCUUUGUUGGUGUCAAAUUUGGAAAACACCCAUUUCAUCUCUUCUUCAUUUGGUUGGAAAGAUUUUGGUGACACACUAACAUUAGAGAUUUGUUUUUCUCUGUAGAUGCUUGAGUGGACUGGUUUUACUGACGAGGCUUUUUUUGAUAGGCCAUGGAAACUGAGAAAACUGAAAUUUUUUGACGACAUUUUCUUGGGUGAUGAUGACUACUUCUUGCUAUAUUAUUUGUAGAAAUUAAAAGC